UGCUGACGAGUGGCGCACGGGUGCGUAACGCGUAUACAAUCUACCUUUUACAGGGGGAUAGCCUUUAGAAAUGAAGAUUAAUACCCCAUAGUAUCCAGCUCUCGCAUGGGAAUUGGAUUAAAAUUUCGGUGGUAAGAGAUGAGUAUGCGUCCUAUUAGCUAGUUGGUAUGGUAACGGCAUACCAAGGCAACGAUAGGUAGGGGCCCUGAGAGGGGGAUCCCCCACACUGGUACUGAGACACGGACCAGACUCCUACGGGAGGCAGCAGUGAGGAAUAUUGGACAAUGGGCGGAAGCCUGAUCCAGCCAUGCCGCGUGCAGGAAGACUGCCCUAUGGGUUGUAAACUGCUUUUAUAUGGGAAGAAACCCACUUACGUGUAAGUGGCUGACGGUACCAUAAGAAUAAGCAUCGGCUAACUCCGUGCCAGCAGCCGCGGUAAUACGGAGGAUGCAAGCGUUAUCCGGAAUCAUUGGGUUUAAAGGGUCCGUAGGUGGACAGAUAAGUCAGAGGUGAAAGUCUGCAGCUCAACUGUAGAAUUGCCUUUGAUACUGUUUGUCUUGAGUCAUUAUGAAGUGGUUAGAAUGUGUAGUGUAGCGGUGAAAUGCAUAGAUAUUACACAGAAUACCGAUUGCGAAGGCAGAUCACUAAUAAUGUACUGACACUGAGGGACGAAAGCGUGGGGAGCGAACAGGAUUAGAUACCCUGGUAGUCCACGCCGUAAACGAUGGAUACUAGCUGUUUGGACUUUAAGUCUGAGUGGCUAAGCGAAAGUGAUAAGUAUCCCACCUGGGGAGUACGUUCGCAAG
rnacentral:rRNA from 1 species